GCAAGAAGCAAAUAUUCAAUGAACCGCAGAUUUCUGAAUGGGGAAACCUGGCUGAGCAAACCUCAGUCGUCCUAUACUGAAUACAUAGGUAUAGGUCGGGAACCUCCUGAACUGAAACAUCUAAGUAGGGAGAGGAAGAGAAAGAAACAUCGAUUCUGUUAGUAGCGGCGAGCGAAAGCGGAAGAGCCCAAACCGGAGUGCGUGCACUCCGGGGUAUGGACUGCAACAUGGCAGUGUUAACGAUAGCAGAAGGGUCUGGGAAGUCCCGCCAAAGAGAGUGAAAGCCUCGUAUGCGAAAUUGAAAACACGCCUAGCAGAAUCCGGAGUACCACGAGACACGAGAAACCUUGUGGGAAGGCGGAGGGACCACCCUCCAAGGCUAAAUACUACUCAGUGACCGAUAGCGCAUAGUACUGUGAAGGAAAGGUGAAAAGGACCCCGGGAGGGGAGUGAAAGAGAACCUGAAACCCUGUGUUUACAAGCUGUGGAACUACGUUAAGGUAGGACCGCGUACUUUUUGUAGAACGGUCCGGCGAGUUUCUUGUACCGGCAAGGUUAAGCACUUAAGGUGCGGAGCCGAAGUGAAAGCAAGUGUUAACAGCACGCAUAAGUCAGUACAAGAAGACCCGAAACCGGGUGAUCUACCCAUGUCCAGGUUGAAGUCGCCGUAAAAGGCGAUGGAGGACCGAACGCACAUCCGUUGAAAAGGGUGGCGAUGAGGUGUGGGUAGGGGAGAAAUUCCAAUCGAACCCGGAGAUAGCUGGUUCUCCUCGAAAUAGCUUUAGGGCUAGCCUCGUAUUAGUCUAGUGGAGGUAGAGCACUGAAUUUCCUAGGGGGCGUCAAAGCUUACCGAAGAAUAUCAAACUCCGAAUGCCGCGUAGAUGAUUCAUGGGAGUCAGACUGCACGAGAUAAGUUGGGUAGUCAAAAGGGAAAGAGCCCAGACCACCAGCUAAGGUCCCAAAGUGCGUGUUAAGUGGUAAAGGAUGUGGGAUUUCGAAGACAACUAGGAUGUUGGCUCAGAAGCAGCCAUACAUUCAAAGAGUGCGUAAUAGCUCACUAGUCGAGAGGUUCUGCGCCGAAAAUGUCCGGGGCUAAAACACGACACCGAAGCUGUGGAUCCGAAAGGAUGGUAGAGGAGCAUUCUUAAGUCGACGAAGCUGUACUGUAAGGAGCAGUGGAGAGUUAAGAAGAGAGAAUGCCGGAAUGAGUAGCGAGAUUUAAGUGAGAAUCUUAAAGGCCGAAUAUCUAAGGUUUCCAGGGUAAAGCUGAUCUUCCCUGGGUAAGUCGGGGCCUAAGGCGAGGGCGAGAGCCGUAGUCGAUGGAUAACAGGUUGAAAUUCCUGUACUGCUUAUGGACAGAACUGUGGGGACGCAGAAGGAGAGCACGAGCCGGAAAUGGAAAAGCCGGUACAAGCGUAUAGCAGUCAUGCAGGCAAAACCGCAUGAAAAAUGUAAAGCGUUAUGUGGAUCGAACAUUAGUAGAGAAGCGUGUGAGCCAGCUGCCAAGAAAAGCCGCUAUUGUUUCAUAAGUACCCGUACCGUAAACCGACACAGGUGGAUGAGGAGAGAAUCCUAAGGCCGGCGGGAGAAGUGUUGUUAAGGAACUCGGCAAAAUGACUCCGUAACUUCGGGAGAAGGAGUGCCACAGAGAUGUGGCCGCAGAGAAAUGGCCCAAGCAACUGUUUAGCAAAAACACAGGUCUAUGCAAAACCGAAAGGUGAGGUAUAUGGGCUGACGCCUGCCCGGUGCUGGAAGGUUAAGAGGAGAGGUUAGCGCAAGCGAAGCUUUGAAUUUAAGCCCCAGUAAACGGCGGCCGUAACAAUAACGGUCCUAAGGUAGCGAAAUUCCUUGUCGGGUAAGUUCCGACCCGCACGAA
rnacentral:rRNA from 1 species